GCCUGGGUGGCUCAGUUGGUUGAGCGUCUGACUUCGGCUCAGGUCAUGAUCUCACGGUUCGUGAGUUCGAGCCCCGCGUCGGGCU
rnacentral:tRNA from 1 species